rnacentral:rRNA from 1 species
UACGGAAGGCAGCAGUGGGGAAUAUUGCACAAUGGGCGCAAGCCUGAUGCAGCCAUGCCGCGUGUAUGAAAAAGGCCUUCGGGUUGUAAAGUACUUUCAGUCGUGAGGAAGGUGUUAAGGUUAAUAACCUUAGCAAUUGACGUUAGCGACAGAAGAAGCACCGGCUAACUCCGUGCCAGCAGCCGCGGUAAUACGGAGGGUGCGAGCGUUAAUCGGAAUUACUGGGCGUAAAGGGCACGCAGGCGGUUAAUUAAGUUGGAUGUGAAAUCCCCGGGCUUAACCUGGGAAUGGCAUUCAAGACUGGUUAGCUAGAGUCUUGUAGAGGGGGUAGAAUUCCAUGUGUAGCGGUGAAAUGCGUAGAGAUGUGGAGGAAUACCGGUGGCGAAGGCGGCCCCUGGACAAAAGGACUGACGCUCAUGUGCGAAAGCGUGGGGAGCAAACAGGGAUUAGAU